rnacentral:rRNA from 1 species
GAAACUGCGAAUGGCUCAUUAAAUCAGUUAUCGUUUAUUUGAUAGUACCUUACUACUUGGAUAACCGUGGUAAUUCUAGAGCUAAUACAUGCUAAAAACCCCGACCUCGGAAGGGGUGUAUUUAUUAGAUAAAAAACCAAUGCUCUUCGGGGCUCCUUGGUGAUUCAUAAUAACUUAACGAAUCGCAUGGCCUUGUGCCGGCGAUGGUUCAUUCAAAUUUCUGCCCUAUCAACUUUCGAUGGUAGGAUAGUGGCCUACCAUGGUUUCAACGGGUAACGGGGAAUUAGGGUUCUAUUCCGGAGAGGGAGCCUGAGAAACGGCUACCACAUCCAAGGAAGGCAGCAGGCGCGCAAAUUACCCAAUCCCGACACGGGGAGGUAGUGACAAUAAAUACUGAUACAGGGCUCUUUUGAGUCUUGUAAUUGGAAUGAGUACAAUUUAAAUCCCUUAACGAGGAACAAUUGGAGGGCAAGUCUGGUGCCAGCAGCCGCGGUAAUUCCAGCUCCAAUAGCGUAUAUUAAAGUUGUUGCAGUUAAAAAGCUCGUAGUUGAACCUUGGGCCUGGCUGGCCGGUCCGCCUCAC